GUUAUUUUGGCAGACUAGUGCAAUAGAUUUAGAAUCUUUUUAUGUAAUUAUUUACAGGUAAUA
rnacentral:tRNA from 1 species